ACGCGUGCUCCGGGGUCGGUGAAAUUCCGAGCCGGCGGUGACAGUCCGCGACCCGACCGCAGCCAGCGGCCGGUUGACCUGGUGGAACUCCAGGACCGACGGUGAGAGUCCGGAUGGGAGGAGACACGC
rnacentral:ncRNA from 2 species